rnacentral:rRNA from 1 species
ACGAACGCUGGCGGCAGGCCUAAUACAUGCAAGUCGAACGGCUCUUCGGAGCAGUGGCGAACGGGUGAGUAACGCGUGGGAAUGUGCCCUUUGGUACGGAACAACACAGGGAAACUUGUGCUAAUACCGUAUGUGCCCUUCGGGGGAAAGAUUUAUCGCCAUUGGAGCAGCCCGCGUUGGAUUAGGUAGUUGGUGAGGUAAAGGCUCACCAAGCCUACGAUCCAUAGCUGGUCUGAGAGGAUGACCAGCCACACUGGGACUGAGACACGGCCCAGACUCCUACGGGAGGCAGCAGUAGGGAAUCUUGCGCAAUGGGCGAAAGCCUGACGCAGCCAUGCCGCGUGUAUGAUGAAGGUCUUAGGAUUGUAAAAUACUUUCACCGGGGAAGAUAAUGACGGUACCCGGAGAAGAAGCCCCGGCUAACUUCGUGCCAGCAGCCGCGGUAACAC